rnacentral:hammerhead_ribozyme from 1 species
GUACCGCUGAGGAGUCCCAAACUAGGACGAAACAGCUUUCCAGUAC